AAAAAGGCAAACCAUGGGUUUCCGUGUCCAAUUUUGACUGUCCGUCUUAUAUGAAUUUUUUUUAUAAUUCGUAUUUUUAUUGUUGCUAGAUGAUAAAACAUGAUUAAUAUUUUAUGCGUGACUUGUCUUUUUAAUUUUUUUCAUAAUUUUUAAAUAAGACGGAUGGUCAAACGUUGUUCACGGAAACCAGGGUU
rnacentral:pre_miRNA from 1 species